CUGAUCUCAUUCAUAAAGCCUUUUAUAUGAUGAAGAGAAAACUGUAGGGGGCGAGCCCCCAAAACAAGCAUAAGCUAAAGAUGGCUGCAAUACAGGCCUGGCAUAACAUCACCACAGAAGACAAUCCAGCAACUGGUGAUGUUCAUGAAUCACGGACUUCAAGCAGUCAUU